rnacentral:tRNA from 1 species
GCUGACGUGUCCGGCGACAGGAAGAGAGUUCCCCGUGGUCGAUGGCAUUCCCAACAUGAUGUUGGAAGAAGAGGAAAGU